rnacentral:rRNA from 1 species
UACGGGGGGGGCAAGCGUUGUCCGGAUUUAUUGGGCGUAAAGAGCUCGUAGGCGGCUCGGUAAGUCGGGUGUGAAAACUCUAGGCUCAACCUAGAGACGCCACCCGAUACUGCUGUGGCUAGAGUCCGGUAGGGGAGCAUGGAAUUCCUGGUGUAGCGGUGAAAUGCGCAGAUAUCAGGAGGAACACCAGUGGCGAAGGCGGUGCUCUGGGCCGGUACUGACGCUGAGGAGCGAAAGCGUGGGGAGCAAACAGG